GCUACUGAUAAGACAAAGACAGUUUUGGAAGAGGAACGAAAGUCUGUAGUUAUGGUUGUAAAGGUGACAGAGCCAGCUAGUAUAAGUAGAGUGAUUGACUUGAAUGAUUAUGGGACAGCAGAACGACUUUUUAGGGUAACAGCUUGGGUACUCAGGUUUGGGUUUAAUGUACGAGCAAAAGCAAGGGGCAUUGAUAGGCGAAGUGGAGAGUUGACAGUGAAUGAGUUAGUUGAGGCAGAGAAUAUAUGGAUUAAAGAGUCUCAGGCAGGGUUGAAAGUAGAUAGAAAGUACACCCAACUGAGUAAUAGUUUAGGUUUGAUGGAAGAGGAAGGCAUUCUGAGAUGUAAAGGUAGAUUACAUAAUUCUGAGUUAGAGUUCAAUACCAAACACCCAAUCAUUAUACCCAAGGACCACAGACUGACUGAAUUGAUUGUCCAGAAAUGUCACAGUGAAGUGCAUCAUUGUGGUGUACGGGCAACCUUAGGAAGAUUAAGGACAAAAUAUUGGGUUGUGAAAGGAAGACAAAUGGUGAAGCGGAUUUUAGGUAGAUGCGUCACCUGUAAAAGAUUAGAGGGAAAAGCAUAUAGUGUAGCACAGACGGCAGAUUUGCCAGGAUUUCGAGUUAGGGAAGCUGCACCCUUUUCUAAUGUGGGAAUAGAUUUUGCAGGUCCAUUGUUUGUAAAGUGUUGUGUGCAAAAUGUCCAAGUAAGGUUUAUAUAGCAUUGUUUUCUUGUUGUGUGACUAGAGCUAUACAUUUGGAGCUAGUUAGGG